ACGUAGGGGGCAAGCGUUAUCCGGAUUUACUGGGUGUAAAGGGAGCGUAGACGGCAAUACAAGUCGGAAGUGAAAUACCCGGGCUCAACCUGGGAACUGCUUUGGAAACUGUAUGGCUGGAGUGCUGGAGAGGUAAGCGGAAUUCCUAGUGUAGCGGUGAAAUGCGUAGAUAUUAGGAGGAACACCAGUGGCGAAGGCGGCUUACUGGACAGUAACUGACGUUGAGGCUCGAAAGCGUGGGGAGCAAA
rnacentral:rRNA from 1 species